CUAAUUGUGACCAGUUUUGCCUUCCAUUUUAGGCCCCUAUUAUUUAUAAUCAUAAUAUGUUAAGUCGCCCCUGUCCUUCUUUCUGGUUAUCACCUCUUCUCUAUAUAUCAUUAUCUUACUAGCAACUUCUGAGACAUAUUCAUUUAUAUAGAUAUGGCUGGUUUUAUGGUCCCAGCAAGAUAGGAGUAGAUUGGU